UAUAGGAAGGCCCUUAUGUUGCAAAGUUAUCUGGAGAGAAUGCAUUCUGAAGAUAUUUCUACUAGCUUCCUUGUGGGACACAUAAAUUCUAUAUUUUAACAACGUGCAUGUAACAUCAUUUUCUGAUGUUUUUCUUUGCUACACCACGAAUCUGCAUUUGAUAUGGCUGGUCUGGCUGACCCCAGAAGCACGAGCACCUGGUGAUUUGAAGUUUACGGAUAUGUUGUGGUUAUUUGCCAAAAUUAUGGAUUACACGAAGGGGAAGGGAAACAAGAAGCUGCUAAUAUAGCCCUUCUAAUGCAAAGAAAUGAAGCUCUCAUGAUUGCUUAUAUUGAUGUUUUCGAGAUCAUUAAAAAUGGAAAUCCUAGCACCGAGUAUUACUCGAAGCUUGUUAAAGCUGGCAUCCAUGGAAAGGACAAGCGAUAGUACAUGGAAUUGUGCCAGAAAAAGAUAUUAAAGGACUACUACUAUGCUUGUGUCAAAAAGAAGCAAGACUGGUGAAUGUCUCUGCAACAAGUGACCGAAUAAUGAAGUAAAACUAAGCAGCUUAGCAAGAGCUGGAUUACUUCGUACAUGAUGUGUCACGAUCUUCCAAUCAGAUUAUUAACAAUAUAAUUCAAGAAACGGGUCGCAUGGAGAGUCUGACUUCGAUAGUAAUGUCAAUUCAAUUCUGGUUGAAGUAGACAAAGCUUCUUCUGACCUUGAGCAGUUCACCUUCCAAGCAACCCAAUUUAUGUGUGUAAACCUUAUGUAUAUAGAUACAUGUGUUCUACUUUAGAACCAAAUAGUAUAUGUAUAUAGAUACAUGUGUUUCCCCACUUGCUCUGCAUCUACUUAACAAGUGACUACUCAUAGAACUGCUCGGCUUUUGUCAACCGAGCUUUCAUCUACUUUGCUCUAACUUAGCCUAUCUCUUUUAUACAUAUGUAAUAUAGUUCCUUGUUUUUCC